AGUGAACGCUGGCGGUAGGCCUAACACAUGCAAGUCGAACGGCAGCACAGUAAGAGUUUGCUCUUACGGGUGGCGAGUGGCGGACGGGUGAGGAAUACAUCGGAAUCUACUUUUUCGUGGGGGAUAACGUAGGGAAACUUACGCUAAUAUCGCAUAUGAUCUACGGGUGAAAGCAGUGGAUCUUCGCACCUUGCGCGAUUGAAUGAGCCGAUGUCGGAUUAGCUAGUUGGCGGGUUAAAGGCCCACCAAGGCGACGAUACGUAGCUGGACUGAGAGGAUGGUCAGCCACACUGGAACUGAGACACGGUCCAGACUCCUACGGGAGGCAGCAGUGGGGAAUAUUGGACAAGGGGCGGAAGCUUGAUCCAGCCAUACCGCGUGGGUGAAGAAGGCCUUCGGGUUGUAAAGCCCUCUUGUUGGGAAAGAAAAGCAGCAGGUUAGUGCCCCGGUGUUCUGGCGGUACCCAAAGAAUAAACACCGGCUAACUUCGUG
rnacentral:rRNA from 1 species